CCGGACGCCCGCCCCGAGCUGGCCCGCUGCGCGCGGAGGCGGCCCUCCCGCCGAGAGCCUCCCCUGCUCAGCCUGUAGGCCGGCCGGCAAGGGCAGCGGGCCUGGAGACGCCGCCUGCCGGCUCCCGGGAGGGUGGGCCUUCUCUCCGGACAAGGGCAGCCUGUCCAGGACUAAGCAGAACCUGUUACAGAGCCCGCGGCUGGCGCCCCGGCCGCGCCCGCCCGGCAGCCCACGUGCGGCCCAAGAGCUGGUACGUCGGGAAAACGGCCCCAAACGAAGGGGGCACCCAGCAGCCCUUCGGGAGUUGAGAAGAUCCACUUAAACGGCAGAGGACGCUCUGACGGCCUUUGUUUAAAACUCGGGGUUGGGGUGGAAUUCGGGGUCUUAUAGCUCUCGCCCUGUCGUACAGGGCUGUCGAGAGUGUAGUGGAACGCAGAUGACACAGAUGGCGUGCGUGGUGUGGAAUACGACACAGACGACGCAUACUGUCGUGUCAUGGCAGCGAUGAGAGCACGCGACUCAGCCCCUGACAGAGGAUGAACCAGCAGCAGAGCCAGGCCCCCCGCCCCUGGGCGGUCUUUUCCCCCCACAUACCGUCUAGAUCAGGCCUGCUUGUCCCACCCCUGAAACCCCAGGACCGCCUGCUCCGGCCAAAGCUGACCUUCCCUGCCCCCUCCCUCUGCUCCCAGACAAAGAUGUUGGGGAAAUGACCUCGGGGGCCGAAAGGCACUUCACCCAUCCACCCUCCUCCUUGUCUCUCUAAUGGACUUUUUUUGGGGGGCGGGGGGGGUGUAGUUUUUGUUUUACAGAGACGCUGGGCGGAAAGUACAGAGCUCCCAUGUGCUUCCCCUGCGGAGCCUGCGGAGCCCAGGUUCCCUGUCACAAACACCCCGCACUGGGUGCUGCAUCUGUUCCAGCGAUGAGCACACAGGAUGAGCCCGUACUGAUGUGCUGCUGUGAGCAGAAGUCCACGGUUCCCCCUAGGGUGCAUCGUGGUGGUGCACAUUCUGUGGGUCUGGACAAACGCACAGUGACGUGUGUCCAGCAUUACAGCAUCACACAGCACGGGGGCGCUGCCCUGGAGCCCCCUGGGCCCGGCCUGUUCAUGUCCCUCCCCAACACUGACGUCUUACUGUGUCCGUAUUUUAUCCUAACCCUAGCUGGGAUCUGCCCUUCCCGGCGUGUCCCCUAGCCGGGAUCGCAGGGGUCUGCCCUUCCCGGCGUGUCCCCUAGCUGGGAUCACAGGGCUGCAGCCUCUCAGCGUGCUUCCUCUUUCAUCUGCACCAUCACCCCGCCCCAAAUUCCUCUUCAAACUCCUGUUUGGGAGGCUGCCCUCUCUCCUGUCCUUCCCCUCUGCCUCUUUCCCAUCUCUUUACCCUAUUCCGUCCUUCUCCCCAUUCCUGGAACAUCCUCAAAGAUUCAGAGGUUGGCUGGCGACCCCUCUGGUUCUCCAGACACACAGACAGGGGCAGUGUAUGCACCACAACGUGGCCACAGAACCAGCCUAGCUGGUGUGAGGCCACAGGGCCUAAGUUCUGCCCUGUCCAGCCCGGGACACAACACGCAGGAAGGCCCCCAAUACCACGCCCCGGGCAGGGACCAGGUUCAGGACAAACUUCUGAUUUCAGGGUCGGCAGCAGGUCAUCAGUGGUCAGGGAGACUUCCGGACCCAGGCACAGCCCUGUCACUCUGUGCUACGCCUCUGCCACGAACGGCCACACCUGCAGGUUCACUCUCAUUCCCCCUUCCCCUGCAAACCCCAGGGAAGAGGUGCUCCUCCUGUAGCUUGAAAAACUGUCCAGGCCCUCCACUGCUGGCCCCUGCUCCGCAGCUCCUCCCAGGGGAAGGCAGAGCAUGCAUGUGUCCUGCCCCGGACGUGGGCCGGUCCCUGUGCCUGGCCCUGGCCAACCAGCCCACGGGGUGGCCGCAGGCCCCGUGCCGGCACAGACUGCGGAAGGUCCUGCCGAGAGCACGGGGGCUGCUAAGCCCACGGGUGAGUCUUCACAGCAAAGCUCGGCGCUGCUGCACUGAGCGUGAGAGACGAGCACAGGGGCAGGUGGGGCAGCACAGGAACUACACACCUGGGCAGGCCCUGCCCGCAGGGCCUCCCGGCCACACAGGCUCUGCCUCUCCGAGUCAGCUCUCAACUUUUCUGUUUAAGUUUCUGUAGCGAUCCUGGUACGCGUGCGUCAACUGCAGUCCUGAGGGCGCAUGAAACGGACACCGGGUAAACUGGGGAAAAAUCCGUAGCUCCUCCAACACUCAAAGGUAGCUCAGGAGAGAGGGAGACGGAGGCCCCCACCAACCUUCAGUGACGUUUCUGCCCCAGAGCAAGGGCUCACCCGCAAGACAGCCCCAGACGGAGGGAGCAGCCCAAGCCCUGGUGCUCCGGAACCUGAGCCACCAGCCAGGCUGGAGACACUGUCACGAGGCACAGAAAGGGCCAGGGGGGCCCCUCGCUGGCAAAACACCCGUGAAAACUCCUCUUAGCCACGCCCGGUACGGACGCGCCCAACUCCGGCGGCAGACCCUGGGGCUGGCGGCAGGCCACGGCACCCGAGGCCCCGGGACAGCAGAGAACAGCCAACCCCUGCCACCAGCACCCCUCCCCAUGUCGCUCAUCCCAUGAUUCUCUGAGCUCGGAGCCAAAUGCUGGCCAGAAACACUAAGACAUGAUGUACUGUCCACAACUUAACAUCGAUUCAGAUAAAAUAACGAUUCCCGACGAUCAGCUCUGCAACCCGCUACAGAGACAACUCGGCCCUGGCCCAUCUCCUGCCCCGGCUCCUAAAAGGCCCAGAGGCGGCCAGGCCACGUGCACACAAGGCCCCCAGACGGAGGCGGCUGGAGACGAGGAACUGCCAGCCUCCUCGUGUGGUCUGAGCGAUCUCAGAAAGCUCGCGGCGCUUCCCCUCUGGCGAAGGAGUUUUCUGGAAGUCUGUUCUUAAGUUCCUGGAGUUAUCUGAUAACCGCCCCACAUGGUCUGCAGACCACACGGCCUUGAUCUCAACCUCAGCCGCCCUUUUGUGUAGAACUUGGCACCACGAUUCUAAAAGUCUGCGGAAGCAAAAAGCACCCAGAAAAGCCACCCCAACAGUCAUGCAUCGGGGCGGGCGGGGUGCUGCUUUCAGCUCGCCAGAACGCGGGGCGACCUGCACAGCGACCUGCAGUGCGCGCGCAGGUGCGCGCAGGCGCGGGGCAGAAGGUCCAGGAACCAACCCAGACACCUGCGGACGUGGCACUUCCGGCAAAGGCGCCGGCACAAUUCAAUGGGAAAUCAUUUCAGAAAGCGACGCUGCAGCAACUGCGUAAUCACGUACAAAAAAGCACGCUUCGAAACUUACCUCAGACCACACAUGGAAAUUAACCUGAACGAGACCACAAGUCUAAGCAUAAAAGCGAAAUUUGGAAAAGUUCUAGAGGAGACACGGGAGAAAACCUAUCUGCCCUAGGGUAUGACAAAGAUUGUUUAGAUUAUGGACUGUACCUUUGGGAACAUCAAAUAAGUAAUAAAUUGGACCUCAUCAAAAUUAAAAACUUUUCUGCUUCAGAAAACACUAAUAAGAAUAUAAGAGAAGGUGAAGGAGACUGAGAUACAGACUUCCAGUUGCAAAAUAAAUGAGUCAAGGGUAUAAAUGUACAGUGUGGGAAACAGUAAUUAUGUAACAUCUUUGUAUGGCAACAUAUCAUUACUAGAUUCAUUGAAAUGUAUAGAAAUACCAAAUCACUAUCUUGUAGAACAAGAACAUAGUUUUAUAGGUCAAUUAUACUUCAAAACAAACACUCAUAGAAAAAGAGAUCAUAUUCCUUACUAGAGGAAGUGCGGGUGUGAGGAGGGAAUUGGAUGAGGAGGUCAAAAGAUACAAACUUCCAGUUAGGGGAUACAUGUAUACCAGGGAUGUAAUGCACAGCAUGGUAAAAAUAAUUAGCACUGCUAUAUAUGGAACUUGUUAAGAGUAAAUCCUAAGAAUUCUCAUCACAACAAAAGUAAAAGUAUCUUUUUUUACAUAUCUUUAAUGUUGUAGCUAUGUGAGAUAACGAACUAUACUUAUCGUGGUCAGCAUUUCACGAUUACCUGAGUCUAAUCAUUACGCUGUACACCUUAAACUUACGAAGUGCUGCGUGUCAAUUAUAUCUUGAUAAAAGAGGGAGAAGAAAUGGAACAUAAGAGAAGUCAUUCACUAGGAAGACAAUUUUCAAAUCCUGUACGUGAUAAAGGAGUUGUAUCCAGCACACACACAGGACUUACCAACUGAAUGAGAAACACCAACGACCCAGUGGGGGAAAUGGUAGAGGAUCUGAACGGACACUUCAGCAAAAAAGCCCAACAUCACCGUCACCAGGGAAAUGCAGAUAAAGCCGCAGAGGUGCCCCCAGAGGCCCACAUUCCAGAACGGGGCAGGUCAGAGGCCUGGCGAUACCCAGGGUUGGUCAGGAUGGGGCAGGAACACCCACCGCGCAGCCCCUUUGGAAGGCAAUUUGACAGUCUCUUAACCAGCAAAAUGCACAUGUGCCAUAAAACCCAGCGAUUCCUCCUUAGGGCCGUCCCUAAGGUGAGUGAGGACACGGUCCUCUCGAGGACUCACAGGCGAAUGUGCUCAGCACGAGCACCCGUGAGCUCAAAGCCCGUGACAGGCCCAGGGUCCAGCAGACACAACACGAGGCCCCCCGCUCAGGGAGCAGUGCUCAGCAAGGAGACGCGGCACAGAAACACGCGCUUGAACUCGGGGAGCUUCAUGGGAUGAAGGACACGUGAACGCAGCUGGUAAAAGUCCGCCUGCUGUUGCAGAGGAGACCUCGGACUGCUAUGGACGUUGCUGAGAGCCCUGGCUGCCUCAGGGGGUGGCUAAGGCAGGAAAGGGUUUGUGCACAACUUUUAACGUCCUUGGAACCCUAAAUGGGAAGGCAUCGCAUCUCCAGAACUAAGUCAUCCGCUCUUGGCCAGCCAGAGGGACACCACAGCGCCGCCCUGGACGGUCUGCCGCCCCUCUGCACGGCCCGGUGACCUGCAGCGCCCUCCAGCACGCGACGCUGCCGACACCAGACCACCCCACUUCAAAGCGCACACGUGGCUGGCACACGGGGAACGGCACUUGCCAGCCACUCUGGGGCAGUUGGAGAAGCCCAGGUCACAGUGAGCCAGGACCUCCACCCAGGGCGGCAACAGAGCCCUGCAGCUGCAGGCCUGAGAGGACCCCUGUCAGCCACAGGCAGCCCCGCAAGUCCAAGGACCAGCAGCUGCCCCCCACCUCCUCAUGGAGACCACCCGCACCCACGUCCUCCUGGAGUCCCUGCACCCACCUCCUCGUGCGGCCCCUGGACCCUCCCCUCAGCCCCUGUCCUCUGUAUCCUGAGGAGCCCCGUUCUGUUGCCUCUGACCCCCGCCCGGGUGCCCAGCUGGGUGCUGGUGCCACCCCCAGAGCUCCACCAUCCUCUCCAGCAAGCGUCCUCCAGGGCCCCCUGCAUCCCUGCUCCUGGGGCCCCGGGGAUCCUCAGGGACCCGUGCACCACGCGUCCUCACGCUCCCUUCCAGCACGGCCUUGCAAAGGCGCUUCCUUCUUCCAGGACCACUGACGGGGCACCUGCAAGAGGCAAGGAGCAGGGCGGGCCCCGCCUCACCUCCCCGGGGCUGCAGUGCGCAGACAGGAAGCAGGCGGCUCCAGGGGACGAAGGGUGCACGGUGGGUGGUCAGGCUGGCAGGA